rnacentral:rRNA from 1 species
GACGAACGCUGGCGGCGUGCUUAACACAUGCAAGUCGAACGUGAUUUUUAUGGAAAGCCCUUCGGGGACGGAAGUAAAAUGAAAGUGGCGAACGGGUGAGUAACACGUGAGCAACCUACCUUACACAGGGGGAUAGCCGUUGGAAACGACGAUUAAUACCGCAUGAGACCACAAAGCCACAUGGCUUAGGGGUAAAAGAUUUAUCGGUGUAAGAUGGGCUCGCGUCUGAUUAGCUAGUUGGAAGGGUAAAGGCCUACCAAGGCGACGAUCAGUAGCCGGUCUGAGAGGAUGAACGGCCACAUUGGAACUGAGACACGGUCCAAACUCCUACGGGAGGCAGCAGUGGGGAAUAUUGCACAAUGGGGGGAACCCUGAUGCAGCGACGCCGCGUGAGCGAAGAAGGUUUUCGAAUCGUAAAGCUCUGUCCUAUGAGAAGAUAAUGACGGUAUCAUAGGAGGAAGCCCCGGCUAAAUACGUGCCAGCAGCCGCGGUAAUACGUAUGGGGCGAGCGUUGUCCGGAAUUAUUGGGCGUAAAGGGUACGUAGGCGGCCUUUUAAGUCAGGUGUGAAAGCGUGAGGCUUAACCUCAUUAAGCACUUGAAACUGGAAGGCUUGAGUGAAGGAGAGGAAAGUGGAAUUCCUAGUGUAGCGGUGAAAUGCGUAGAUAUUAGGAGGAAUACCGGUGGCGAAGGNNACUUUCUGGACUUUUACUGACGCUCAGGUACGAAAGCGUGGGGAGCAAACAGG